CCGAUACGAAAUUAUUCAGCAUUCUAUUCACUGCACCACUUAAACUAAUGAGUGAGAUGGAGGGGAAAAGAAGAGCGAGAAGAAAGCUAGGGGUCCUUAGGCACUUUUUUGAGUGCCUUUGGAACCCUACAGGAGAUUUUACGUCCUCAUACUGGAGCAGAAGCAUAUUUCACUUUUGCAUUGGUAUCUACGUAUUCCAGACAUUU
rnacentral:snoRNA from 1 species